rnacentral:ncRNA from 1 species
GGAAAGUUUUAUUCUAGCUUGAUUAUUUAUUUUAAUUAUAUUUGUAAUAUAUAUAAAUUGUUGUGUUAAUUAUGAAAUUAGUUCUUAAUGGUUAAUUAUAUUUUUAUGUAAUAUUUAAAUUUAUAAAUUUAAAUUUCUUUAGAUUUAGUAAUAAUUUUUGUUAUUGAUAAAGUUUGUGCCAGCAAUCGCGGUUAUACAAUUGGAUAUAAAUGAAUAUUUUUGGUUAAAAUAGUUAUUAUGAUAUUAAAUAUAAUUAUUAAAUUGUUUUUAGGUGAAAUUUUGAAAUAGAUUAAUUAAUUAUAAUAUUUUAUUAGGAAGCUAUAAAACCUAAAUUGUAAACUAGGAUUAGAUACCCUAUUAUUUUAGGUGUUAAAUAUUUUAACUUGAGUAGUAUUAGUUAUUUUCUUGAAACUCAAAGAAUUUGGCGGUAUUUUAGUCUAUUUAAAGGAAUCUGUCCCGUAAUUGAUGUUCCACAAUGAAUACUUACUUAAUUUGAGGUUUAUAUAUCGCCGUAUUUAAAUGAAUAUCUUUAUAGAGUGUAAAAAUUUUCUAGAACUUUUAAUUAUAGUUUAUAUCAGGUCAAGGUUUAAUUAAUGAUUAAGUGGAGAUGGAUUACAAUAUUAUAUAUUUCGGUUUGAAAGUUGUAAUAUUUUCAUUAAGUUGGAUUUAAAAGUAAUUUGAUUUAGAAUGUUGAUAUGAUUAAAGCUCUAAAAUGUGUACAUAUCGCCCGUCGCUCUCAUAUGGUUAUUGAGAUAAGUCGUAACAUAGUAGUUGUACUGGAAAGUGUAGCUAGAAUAAU